GGGGGUGUAGCGCAGUGGUAGCGCGUCCGCUUUGCAUGCGGAAGGCCCUGGGUUCAAUCCCCAGCUCCUCCA